CUACGGGUUGCUGCAGUGGGGAAUAUUGCACAAUGGAGGAAACUCUGAUGCAGCAACGCCGCGUGGAGGAUGACACUUUUCGGAGCGUAAACUCCUUUUAUAUAGGAAGAAGAUGACGGUACUAUAUGAAUAAGCGCCGGCUAACUCCGUGCCAGCAGCCGCGGUAAUACGGAGGGCGCAAGCGUUACUCGGAAUCACUGGGCGUAAAGAGCGUGUAGGCGGAUUAAAGAGUCAGAAGUGAAAUCCUAUAGCUUAACUAUAGAACUGCUUCUGAAACUCUUAAUCUAGAAUAUGGGAGUGGUAGAUGGAAUUUCUGGUGUAGGGGUAAAAUCCGUAGAGAUCAGAAGGAAUACCGAUUGCGAAGGCGAUCUACUAGAACAUUAUUGACGCUGAGACGCGGAAGCGUGGGGAGCAAACAGGAUUAGAUACCCGGGUAGUC
rnacentral:rRNA from 1 species